GGGGUGUAUGCUCAGCUUUGGGUUGUGCUAAGCGGUACUAAUUAACCGUGAGGCUUAACCUUACAACGCCGAAG
rnacentral:rRNA from 1 species